ACAAGUACCGUGAGGGAAAGUUGAAAAGUACUUUGAAAAGAGAGUGCAAGAGAACGUGAAACCGGUAUAAUGGAAGCAUAUGGAGUUGACGUAUCUAGCAUGCAUACAGUUGCUCGGCGUGGCAAUUGCGGCGUUCGUCGUUCCGCAAGGUCGACUGCGUCGUAUUGUUGUUGCGUUGUGUGAUGCACUUGCGUGCGGAGUGCGCCGAGUUGCGUUGUGGCGUCGGUUGAGACUGUUCGAGAGGACAUGAUUUUCGGAUUGUGAAACCUUGCACGGUGUAGGCCGGUUGCUGCUGCGUAGCUUUGUAGAGAUGUAGGGCCUACGUGCGGCGUUGGGUCGGUACCGUUGGUUUGUGUUGUACGCAUGCGUGCGGCGCUUAUGAAUUGUGCCGGCCCGGCGUUGUACUCUGCAUCAUUCUCGGUGUAUAGUCAAUGACCCAUUUGACCCGUCUUGAAACACGGACCAAGGAGUUUAUGGUAUGCGCGAGUUAUUGGGUCGGCGAAACCCAAAGGCGAAAUGAAAGUGAGACCUUACUGGUUUUAAUGUGAUCGGCUUCUGUUUCGAUGGUUGUCGAGCAACAUUGCCCCGUUUCGAGGACUUGUCCUGAUGCGGAGGUUGAGCGUAUGCUAUGAGACCCGAAAGAUGGUGAACUAUGCCUGAACAGGAUGAAGCCAGAGGAAACUCUGGUGGAAGUCCGAAGCGGUUCUGACGUGCAAAUCGAUCGUCUGAUUUUGGUGUAGGGGCGCAAGACUAAUCGAACCAUCUAGUAGCUGGUUCCUUCCGA
rnacentral:rRNA from 1 species